rnacentral:piRNA from 1 species
UCACUGUUGAUUGGCCAGACGGCAGC